GAGAAUUAUUGUGGAUUUCUGACUUGCAAAACUGUAAGAUAAUGCACUUGUUAUAGAAUAAUAAACGAAUACAGUUUGGAUGUGGCUAUGAUAUAGGCCAGGAUUCUUCUAGUUGUGACAGAAAAUCCAGCACAAACUAGCUCCUGGUAUGCCAUCACGGAGUUCAGAUAGUGUCAUCAAAUCUCCCCUCCCCCUCAUUAUUCCUGCUUCGCAAAUUCUAAUUCUCUUUGUCCUGAUUCUUUUUAUUUUAUGUUUUGCGGGUUUUUUUGUUGUUGCUUUUUAGAAAUGGGUCUCACUAUGUUGCCCAGAUUAGUCUUGAACUUCUGGCCUCAAAGGAUCCUCCCCUCUCAGCCUCCCAAGUAGCUGGGACUACAGGCUUCAGCCACUGCAACUGUCAGUUCCGACUUUCCCUGCCUCAGCCUUGUUCCCUCUUACCUCACAAAGAAAAGACGGCUGCCAGCAACUCUAGAAAAAACUCAGCAUGAUCAAAACUUCACUAAAGCCAGGUGCAUUCAAGAACACAGGACUCCCUAUUCCCAGAGCUUCAAGUUGAAAGGUAGGUUUUCCCGGGAGGAGCAGAUCUCUGGCAUUUCUUAUCCUCCCCAGCUAUACGCUGCAGCAGCUAACUUUCAGGUGAGUGCAGCAGAGGCUUGAGAGCUUCUUUAUUCCACCAAGCCCCGACUCACAGGGCGGAGGCUCUAUGUCAGGCAUGGUAUGCUGAGAAUACCGGGUCGCCAUCACUGUGACUCCACUCAUUCAUAGGUUGGAGGCUCCACACCAG
rnacentral:lncRNA from 1 species